rnacentral:rRNA from 1 species
GAUGAACGCUGGCGGCGUGCUUAACACAUGCAAGUCGAACGGUGAAGUGAGGAGCUUGCUCCUUGCGGAUCAGUGGCGAACGGGUGAGUAACACGUGAGUAACCUGCCCUUGACUCUGGGAUAAGCACUGGAAACGGUGUCUAAUACCGGAUACGACCUCCGAAGGCAUCUUCUGGAAGUGGAAAGAAUUUCGGUCAAGGAUGGACUCGCGGCCUAUCAGCUAGNGGUGAGGUAACGGCCCACCAAGGCGACGACGGGUAGCCGGCCUGAGAGGGUGACCGGCCACACUGGGACUGAGACACGGCCCGGACUCCUACGGGAGGCAGCAGUGGGGAAUAUUGCACAAUGGGCGCAAGCCUGAUGCAGCAACGCCGCGUGAGGG